GUGCUCACUUUGGGAGCACAUAUACUAAAAUUGGGACAAUACAGAUAAGAUUAGCAUGGCCCCUACACAAGGAUGACAUGCAAAUCCAUGAAGUGUUCCAUAUUUUA
rnacentral:snRNA from 1 species